GUAUAUACUGGAUAUUAGCCCUCUAUUGGAUAUAAGAUUAGUAAAGGUCUUUUCCCAAUCUAUUCAUUGCUGUUUUGUCCUACUGACAGUGUGCAAACUCCCAAUUUUAAUGAUAAGUGAAUAAAGGAGUUAAGAACAUAAUGAUGUUAGGAAUCAAGGAAGUAGAGCAGAUUAGAAUGUACAUAAGGAAAAAUUUGAUACAAAUUCUCGUAGGGCAAGGUUAAUUUUGUCCACAUUAGUUUAGACUAUUAUAACUGAAAGAAAGUAAAUGACAAUACUAUAAGUAGAGUUAGGAGAAAGCAUGUGUGUGGAAGAUAUUCUUUUCAAAUGAAUCAGGAGAAUUUGAACCAUAUUUCUAUAAAUGCAUUAUAAAUUCUUUUCUACUUAGUGGCUUAGUGGCUUAUAAAUGAGAUCUAUUUUCAGUGUAUCAAGAUUUAUACCAUGUAAUAUUUGAUUUGUGUCUCACAAUUUUUUUCAUUCAUUUUAUCUUUCAUUUAUUUGCUUUAAUUUUAGAAGACUAAAGAUUUUGAGUUCUUAACUCCAGAUGUAAGAAUCAUUUAACUCUGAAAAUGUUUAUAUAGGAAGAACUGAGCCUUAAUGUGAUUUAUUCUGAGGCAUGGAUUCAGCGUUUUACCCCUAUGAGUCAUAUCUUCCAAUCAUUUAUGGGUGGAUAAAUGCAUAUAAGAAGAAGUACCAAUCAUUUAUGGAUGGAUAAAGGUACCUAGCAGUAUUUCAAGCAAUAUGGUCCAAAGUGCAGGUUCCAAAGAAGAAAGUAGAAGAUACUGGGUCACAUUCUGUGGGACCCACAGAUACAGUACAGAUAUACGUGGUCAACAUCUUUGGAUGAGGGGUGACAAUAUUAGAAUGAGACCCCAGACAAGUUGUUUGGUAUGUCUUUCUUACCUGAGGACUAUUGGAAUUUAAAGGUAAGAUGUAUUUGAAUUUCUCCAAUUACUA